rnacentral:lncRNA from 1 species
AUGAAUGAUCCGGUGCCGAGAAAUCAAAUUCAGUUGCCAUGGUACCAGGUUGGCCGAAAGAGGAAAAAAAAGGAGGAAGAACAACAACGAGUUUGUUUUGAAUGUUUGGCUUUUUCACACGUUCUCUCCCCUCACAGCGACGUUGCAACAUGGCGCCGCGGAGGAGCAGCCGAGGGGCAACGCGAAGGCAGGAGAAAUGGCGGGAGGAAACGUCGCCCUUCGUCUUUAAUUGCCGCAGCCCCUUCCCCCACCGCUCUUACCCAUGAGCCUCUAGUGCCAUCUGUGACCCCCAUGGGAGACAAGCGGAGCCUUGCCUGUGCCAACGAAGGGACAAAGACCCUGCGAGGUGGGCACAGGAAGGGAGGCCAUUUUAGUGUCGAGAUCCUGCCGGAGCAUCUAAGAUGGCUGGACCGGCUGGCACUCGAGGUGUGAAGACCCGCUCAGAGCCGGACGGAUGGCACGGGGGAGUCGUGGCACAACUUCCAUUUCAACAGCCUGAUGGGCGAAGAAAGGAAAGAUGGAACUCUGUGUGCAGCAACCCAAUGGCAACAUUUUUAUUUAAUGCCUGCAGUGGAUUGUAAAAUAAAUAAAUUCUUUUCAGUCCA